rnacentral:rRNA from 1 species
AUUGAACGCUGGCGGCAGGCCUAACACAUGCAAGUCGAGCGGAUGAAGGGAGCUUGCUCCUGGAUUCAGCGGCGGACGGGUGAGUAAUGCCUAGGAAUCUGCCUGGUAGUGGGGGAUAACGUCCGGAAACGGGCGCUAAUACCGCACACGUCCUGAGGGAGAAAGUGGGGGAUCUUCGGACCUCACGCUAUCAGAUGAGCCUAGGUCGGAUUAGCUAGUUGGUGGGGUAAAGGCCUACCAAGGCGACGAUCCGUAACUGGUCUGAGAGGAUGAUCAGUCACACUGGAACUGAGACACGGUCUAGACUCCUACGGGAGGCAGCAGUGGGGAAUAUUGGACAAUGGGCGAAAGCCUGAUCCAGCCAUGCCGCGUGUGUGAAGAAGGUCUUCGGAUUGUAAAGCACUUUAAGUUGGGAGGAAGGGCAGUAAGUUAAUACCUUGCUGUUUUGACGUUACCAACAGAAUAAGCACCGGCUAACUUCGUG